UACGGAGGGUGCAAGCGUUAAUCGGAAUUACUGGGCGUAAGGCGUGCGCAGGCGGUUUGUUAAGUCUGCUGUGAAAUCCCCGAGCUCAACUUGGGAAUUGCAGUGGAUACUGGCAGGCUGGAGUAUGGUAGAGGAAGGUGGAAUUCCCGGUGUAGCAGUGAAAUGCGUAGAGAUCGGGAGGAACACCAGUGGCGAAGGCGGCCUUCUGGACCAAUACUGACGCUCAUGCACGAAAGCGUGGGGAGCAAACAGG
rnacentral:rRNA from 1 species